rnacentral:rRNA from 1 species
AGCAGUAGCCACGGGAAUACAGAGGGUGCGAGCGUUAAUCGGAUUUACUGGGCGUAAAGCGUGCGUAGGCGGCUUCUUAAGUCGGAUGUGAAAUCCCUGAGCUUAACUUAGGAAUUGCAUUCGAUACUGGGAAGCUAGAGUAUGGGAGAGGAUGGUAGAAUUCCAGGUGUAGCGGUGAAAUGCGUAGAGAUCUGGAGGAAUACCGGUGGCGAAGGCGGCCCCCUGGACAAAGACUGACGCUCAGGUGCGAAAGCGUGGGGAGCAAACAGGAUUAGAUACCCCUGUAGUCCCUGUCUCUUAUAC